rnacentral:lncRNA from 1 species
CAAUCCAUUAGGAAGUUGCGCGCAGCAAGCGUAGUCAUCUAGUGCUAACCGCCUUAAGCUCCCAAAGGCUGACAUGGUUCUCAUCCACUGCGGUAGCCCGCGUGCAAAGUAGCCAAUGAUAUCAAGUAGUUCCAUGCAAGGUGGAGGACACAGAUUAUCCAGGAUGUCCUCUGUUCUCCUGUGUUCCUCCUCGCUAAUGUUGCCUUCGACCUCUCCAUUGUCUCCUAGCCUGCUGGUAAAUAUCAAGUUUAAGUUUGUCAAGUGAUGUUUACUGCUAAGGUUUGCUUUAGCAGCCAUAGAACCGGAUGAUGCCUUCUCCAGACAACUUAUUUCAAGGCUUUGGAGCUUCGACAGAGGUCUGAGUUCUUCUAAGCUGCACCAGCCACCCGUGCCCUCAUCUGAAUAAUGUGUCGGAAACCCCCUUAUUCUGACCAAAUCUUCUAGUUUUCCCAAGCCACGAGGAAUUGAAGUGAUUGCCGUGUCGCUCAAGUCGAGUGACCUUAGUUUCCGUAGCUUCAAAAUGCUGGUAGGAAGUUGAGAAACAUUUGUACACUUUGCAAGUUCAAGGGCUUGAAGAAAUUUUAGGUUACCUAUAUCUCGUGGUAUCGUGGAUAUGCUUGCGUUAUCAAUACACAAGUGUCUCAAAUGUUUGAGGUGGCAUAUGGAGUCUGGAAGCUCAACUGGAUCUACAUCUACUAGAUGUAGUACUCUGAGGCAAGAAGUAUUGUUCAACAGAUUCUUCAGCUCAACAGUGGUGCUGCUUCCGAAUAACAUUAAUGUUCUAAGCAAGGCUUGUUUUUGCAAAGUGCCAUGCCCUACUGCCUUGUUUGAGAUAGAUAGGUGCCGAAGCUUUGCAGUGCUAAGAGUUCUAUUGGCAUCCAGCCCAUCACUAAUAAGUAUCCCUUCAUCUUUAAUUAUAUACUGAGCGAAGGAACGGACAACAUCGUGCAUGCUGCAUGCUUGUAUACCAUAGUAACUUUUGUCUGGUUCUAGAAGAUUUCUUGAAACCAAUUCAUUGUAGUAUUCUUCCCCCAACUUUUCUGGUGCCUUAUAGCUCAUCUUGUUGUGUACAUGACCUGCUGCUAUCCAAUGCUGGACUAUUGCUUCUCUAAUUAUUAAUUUAUCUUUAGGGAUUAGUGAACAAUACACAAAACAUUGCUUCAAGUGUGAGGGCAAGUCUUCAUAACUCAAAUAGACCGCUUUAUUAAUAUCUUCGUCGAUUCCUGUUGUUGACCAAGUGUCGUGACUACUGACAUCCAUCCAGUCAUGUCUUGUUCUACUUUUGCGGCGCAAGAGUCCUCCAAGGAUCUUAACUGCUAACGGCAAGCAGUCACAUCUUUUAACAAUUUCCAUCCCAAUACUCUUCAAUUCAUCGACAUCGGCUUCAUCAGUCUCAUUCAAAACUACCUAGUAUUUGAAAAAAAUGCAGCAAGUUUGAGAGAGGAAAUGGUGCUAGAAUCGAAAAGCUCCCGUGCAAUGGAUUUUAUGUUGUAUCAUAACUUUGCAGGGGUUGUUUGUAGGGAAAAAAUUGAAGUGAGUUCAAUAGAUUCUAGACACUAGAUAACCAAGGCUAUUCCCAGUGGAGAAUUUCAUAUUACGGUUUUCAAGAGUGGCAUGUCAUCGAAAGAUGUUUGAGUGGAUGUAUGAAACAUGUUCUCCCCAUGGAGAGUUUCAUUUUGCGAUUUCAUAGGCUGGACAUAACGUUUAAUUGCAAGGUAUGUAAUUGCAAGGUAUGUGAUUGGAUGUUAUGAGAUGAUAUGAAACUCUCUAAUGCCCAAUGCUAGUUUCAUCAGGUUUUGUAGUAAUGGAAACAAUGUAUACAGGGUUUCAUCAGGAUGAAACUCCUUCCCUCUCUCUCUUUGGCUAUUUAUACCCUCUCUACUCGCCCGUUGGAGUUGUUAGAUGAAGCUAGAGUGUGCAAAAGUACAUUGGAGAUUAAGACUCAUCAAGAACACAUCUGAGCCACCAAAAGUGCAUAAGUGAUUAAUCAAAGGCUUAGCACAAGCUUAAAAGACUAUUUAGUGCUAGGAUAGGUCAAGAGAAGAGACAAUGCAAGGUGUGCCUACCUUGUGAUCGAUUCUAGGAGUGAACCACAACUAUACAAGGUGUGCCGGCGUCUUGGAGCCUUGGUGGCUCGCCGGCAAGUCUUUGACCCUCCGACUUGGUGUGGAGCAGCGUUGACGACCGUGUGCGGGGGACAUGGAGAUCCGCUUCCUUCGUGGAAAAACUUCUUAGUGGAGAUGGUAUCAAAGUGAUCGGGGAACUUGACGUGAGUCUUAGUGGCCGAGCCUUUAUGGCAAAUCAAGGGGUGUCCCGGGAGAGACUUGGUGACCGGAAAGCAAUACUCUUGUGUGAGUGCUUCAACAACGUGGACUAGUGGUGGCUUAGUGCCUACUCAUGCCACGUGAUAAAUUAUCGUGUCAAGAAUUUCCUUCCCCUCAUCCUCUCUUUUACGUUUCCACAUUUCAUACAUGCAAUCUUUGUGCAUUUAUUUUCUUAGUGUAGUAUCUUGCUAGGAUUGGCUCUAGGUUGCAAAACUUAUUUUGGGACGGUGGUUUCACACUAGUUUAAGUUUGAUGUAUAAGAAGUGGAAGUCAUAGGUUAAGGUUUUGAGUUGUGUAAUUCACCCCCUCCCCCUCUUAGGCUACGAGCACCGAUUCUUUACGCUAAACAAAACUUCCCUCAACGUCAAUAGGAUAUGCUCAAUAAAAUAUAACCAUGAGACACGUUUUGCUAAGCCAAGAGGUUAAGAAAGUAUGAUAAAAGACUCCUAGUCAAAUUACAUGGUCCUUUGCAUAAUCAAAUCGGACGAGAGCGACAAGAGAAAUAAUGAGCAAAAUGGGCUGUCGUGAAUUACUCCAAGGGAGAGAAAGUAAUUAAGAAGAGAUAAAAAUUGUUAUUGUAAAUUCAAAUUACUACAGAAAUAAUUACUAUAAUGAAUAAAAGUUAUUACUUACCUGGUUCUUUAGCAAAAUCCAAGCAUCUUCCGUGGUUAGCUUGUCAACUCGAUGGAGAUGUUGAGCUUUCAUCCCAUGAGCAAUUCCAUCAUUUCUUGUGGUCACCAAAACUCGACUGCCAGAAGCAUUAGCACCAUGACUGAGCGGCUCUCUAAGCAGCGCAUACCACACAUUUUCAUUCCACACAUCAUCCAUCACCAACAAAAACUUCUUCUUUUGCCGGAUCGUAUCAUUCAGGGCACGCUGAAGUAGGUCCUUGUUUCCCGCACAACCUUCAUGUUUGGCACCAAAAGAAGCUAUAAGACUUUGUAGGACAUUGAUCUCAUCGAACUCACGGUUAACGCUCAACCAGAUCCUUUCCUCGAAGUUUUCCCCCACCCUACUAUCAGCGAAGACCAUCUUAGCCAGAGUGGUUUUGCCGAUCCCACCUAUGCCUGUGAUAGCAGCAGCAACAACCACAUCAUUAUUGGCCCUUGAUCCUGCAGGAGCAUCCACCUUCUUGAUGAGUAGAUCAACAAUUUUCUUCGUGUCAUCCUCAAUCUUCUCGCCGACAACAUCAGACCGGAUAAAAACCGAUCCAGUUUCGUCGGACAAAGAAUUGGAAGCUUUGUUGAUUGAAUCAGCUGAGGCAUGGAUGGCUUGGGUGAUGGAUAUGAAACGGGAGCUCCUCUUUGCCAGGUCUUCCAGUCGCUGGUUGAUCGCUUGGAUCUUCGUUCCGAUCUCAUGUGCCACAACAGGGUUGCGGAAGCAAAAGAACAUCUUGGGGAUGUCCCAGAACCUUGAGGUGGUUUUCGGAGCAGAUGUUGGUGCGGGAGGAUCUUCUUCUCCGCCGUCCAUGAGCUGGCAGAGGUCAAGGACGUCGUCGGCGUCGUACAUGACGUCCUUGAGCUCCCUCACCCAACCCUCCGUAGCCUUGUCGCGGAUGCGCUUCCUCUCCGCAUCACCCAAGAUGUGGCUCAGGUCACGGAGCGUGGUCUCGAGCUUGGUGACCUCGCCCGGCACGCCGAGGAGCAUCUCCACCUCCUCCUUCACCAUGCCUGCCAGGAUGCCCACAAGCUUGGACGCGAACUCGUCCAGCAGCGCCGCCAUGGUCGGGGAGCAGGGGAGCAAAAGGAAGAUGACUGGGUUUCAGAUAUGUGUGGGGGUUCUGGUGUGAUUUUGGGAGACGCUUUAUAGAGAAGGUAGCUAAGGCCUGGCCGGUCGAUGGAAAAUCACGGAUGGGCAGAUGAGAUGGCGAGGCGAACAAGUUCAACGCAUAGGAUGGCACGAGUACGCUACUCCAUACUGUAUUCUAGUGGUCCUCGAUCUGGUGUCAAAUUAACCCGCAGGAGGCAGGAUCGAGCACAUGUACACAUCCAAUGCAGCUUCAACUCUUCUCUCUGUUGCUGGCUCCGCACCUAACGGAUCAGCCACGAGCAAAUGCCAGCUACCAGUGCACCAUUGGAACUACUAAUAGCAUGGUAUUAACAAAUCAGGUCUAAGGUCCACAUGGUUACGCCAGAACAUCGGUUGCUGUUUACUAGCCUUGGCUUGGUCAAAUUUUGGCCACCGCAUUGGCAGCCAACUACUACUAGUUGGGACUUGUUUUUAGAGCCUCCAUUGUAAUCCUUUUGAAAUGCGGUAGAUAAAAACAAUAUAAUUCUCAGAAAGAUUCGUCCAUCAAGUUGAUAGAUUUAAUCAUCAUUGAUUAUCAUCAAUUCGGCCAUGAAUUGGAUAGUAUUUCAAUGACGGUUAUCGUUUACCGAGACAUUACUGUUUUUUUCUAAGAAUUUCUACGAUAUAUUUGUUGUUUUAUCGCGAUCUUAACUUAUAAGGAUUAACGCUCUAAAAAAGCCUCUAAUUAGUAAUGGUCGUUUCAUGUGCUACCAAAUUUCAAAUUCCCUAUAACCUUCUUCUUUAGACUCUGAAUCUCUGAUGUGAAAGAGGAGGAGCUCGAACGCUCGAUUGAUCCGGAAGAUUGAAUCUUCAGAAAUUCGAAUGCUCGAAGACUCUUAACCAUGACCUUUUCCUGGUCUCGAGUGCCGGAUGGGUCUCGGAGCACCCGAGACGGCAAGAUCCGUCAAGUUAGGCUCUCGACUGCAUCCACCCAUGUGUUGGCAGAGCACGCUCGUCAGUUGUUUUUUGUUUCCUCUUUAAUUAGCAGCUUCCUAGAUCGAAACAAGUACAAAAAAUUAAAAAUCAUGUGUGGCAGAAGACCACCCGUCGACCGGGAGUCGGUCUCAUCGCAUCGGAGCCGCCGCACCGUACUGGCGGCGACGGUGCACCACUGCCCCAUGAAUGUGCAUGCAAGAGCACGGGAUGGAACCGGCGCGCUUCUGUGGUCGUGAACGAAACCGCCGCAUCUCGUUCUCGCGCUCGUUGAUGUCGCCGCCGAAGUCGAGCGGCGUCGGGGUGCUCGGGGCCCAACGCGCGCACCUGAUGGAGCGAACGGAGUCCGUCCUCGCAAGCCAGCUCAGGCUCGCCGACAAUUCUGUCGGUGUAGCGUGGAUGCUUCGUCGACACUGGGAUAUCGCGUUCGCGUGGCCAUUGUCGCCGCAUGCGGUGGCAGGCUCUUCCCCGGGACCGGCACGAAACUCGGCCGCCCGCCCGGGGUGCUCGAUCGUGUCGUCGGAGCCGCCGCACCCGCGCUCCCACUCGCACCGGCGACGGCCCACCAACGUCGCUUCUGUACAGGAUGGAGCAUGCACGUGGUGAGGUACAGGAGCUCCGAUGGUCGCCAUGCGCAACACGUGCGCCGCCACCGGACACGAUCAAGCACGCGCGCGACGCGAGCCGCCGUCCCGAACCACAGCGCCGCCACGUCCUCCGCCGCUGCUGGUCGAGGUCGCCCCCGCUCUCCGCGGCCCACGACUUGGACGGCGGCAGCACGAGGCGAAGGCGGGACCCAGGGGCACCAUGCGUCACGCGCCGGCUAGCUGCCGGCGAGUCUCCGACGAGCGCCCCUGGCGCCCUCGACGUGUCGAGGCGUGCGCCGGUGGACAAGGCGGUGCUGCACGCUUGUGGCGCCUGGCGAUCGAUGUCGUGGACUCGUGGCGGUGCGACGCUGGCUCCCGGCGAGGCUUCCUUCCUCCACUGGCGUCGUCAAGCAUGGAAGAGCCACCCACUUCUCGCCACGCCAUCCACAUCUGUGGUUCCGCGGACCGCGCGCCAGGCGGCUUGCAGGGCGGACGGCGCGUCGUCGUCGCAGUCGUGGCAUGGAAGAGCUGGGCGGUGGAAGGCACUGCACCGUCUACUCGUGUCCCUGGACACCAGUUCUCGCACGGACGCCGGCAGCCCGGCCCUGAAGCAGGCACCGUGGCCCGUCUGGUCGCGCGCACGCCGCGCUGGCCGCUGACGACGCCAUCGCCAGUCCCUGCACUGGGCACCAGCCGAUGAUGGUGUCGCCUGAUGCCCUUGCCCGGGGUCGGGGGCAUGGAUGGCGUGACGGAGCGAGCGGCAACCAGGGCGCGGAUCAACGCCGACGAAAAGUCAAAGACUUGUGCACGGGAUGCUCUCGGUCUCUGGAGGGAGGAGGGGAUUUCCUGCUGCUGGCGGGCCUGCUGGUUCCUGGUGUAGCCGAACAGUGUCGCCGUUAGUUGCGGUGAGCCUAUGCAAUGCAUGCUCGUGAGUUUGUCGGACGGACGGCGACACCGACACCAUCUUCCACCGGCCGGCCGGCCGGCCUCGAGUCCGUGUGCGUAACCUACCCGGGGUCCUGCUGAUAAGAGUUUUCGAGUGGGCAGUUUUCGUUUUCUCGUGUCUUCAAAUUGCUUUUGGGUAAACUUUAACCAUUUUCAAGUUACAACAGCCGUGACAUGAUUACUAUAUUUUACAUUCGAGACGGAUCCCAGUGAAACAAGGCAAAAAGAACCAGUUGAGGUUCAGCGUUUCGAGAGGGCCAGCCGAAAAAGGUCUCAUUGUCAAACGUGUCUAGUUGAGCCUUGGAGGCCGAAACAGCCCAAAUUAGCGAACGGCGCAAGCGAUAGGGCAAUUAUUAAUCCCACCUCGCUUCUACGAGCCCACCGCGCAUGUGGACGAAGCUAGCUGGGUGCCCACCUCAGUGUUUUCGCUUCAGUGCUUGCAUCACGCUUCAGUGAUUAACUGAAGAGCAAGAAGAAGGGUAUCUUGCCAAUGGAUGCAGGCCGCCGUCUGAGAGCUCUCGUGCUUGGGCUCGGCACGUCGAAAGCGCUAGGUAAGCCGACGUUUAAUUAAAAAGAAAAAACAAGGCUGGGCUUGCUCUUCCUUUGGAAAGCAUACCGGAUCUCUCUUCGAAAGAGGAAAGCAGAUGUAUCUUCAUGGCACGAUGUUUACCCGCUGCAGCGAUGCCUUCUGGCCUGUUUUUUUUUCCUUUUUUUUAAUUAGUUUGCGUCUUGCCUAUCACAUCAACCCGGCAUUUUUUUCUUUUUUCUUUUUAGGGCUGUUUGGAUACUCUCUCCUAAACUUUAGUACUUAUCACAUCGAAUGUUUGGAUACUAUUUAGGAGUAUUAAAUAUAGUCUAAUUAUAAAACUAAUUGCACAGAUGGAGUCUAAUUUGCGAGACGAAUCUAUUAAGCCUAAUUAGUCCAUGAUUUAGCAAUGUGGUGCUACAGUAACCAUUUGCUAAUGAUGGAUUAAUUAGGCUUAAUAGAUUCAUCUCGCGAAUUAGUAUAGGGGUUUUGCAAUUAGUUUUAUAAUUAGCUCAUGUUUAGUCCUCCUAAUUAACGUCCGAACAUUUGAUGUGACCCUCCUAAAGUUUAGCACCUCGUAUCCAAACACCCUCUUAAUUAGUCUGCAUCCUACCUGUCACAUCGACCCGACGUGGAUCAGAUGUAUCCAAACACCCUCUUAAUUAGUCUGCAUCCUACCUGUCACAUCGACCCGACGUGGAUCAGAUGUGCCAUGACUCUGCUGGCCAGGCCAAGCCUAGUGGGAUUGGGAAGCAAGAAGUUAUUCCCUCCAUUCCAAAUUGUAGAUCAUUAUAAUUUUUUUGGAGAGUCAAACUAUUCUUUAUUUGGUCAAAAUUAUAGAGAAGAUUGCAAAGAUUUAUGACCGGAUAAUCACAAACUAUUUAUAAAGAUUACAAACUAUUGAAACUUCGAAGUAUGCCACAAAUUUCAAGCAGUACAUGUUCACAAAAAUCACAUACUUGAUAGUGUUAAAAAUGAUUCUUUUGUUCAGACACCAUAUUUACAUUUACAAAUUAAAUCCAACAAAAUAAAUGUAGUACAUGUAUUUCUCGGUGUACUGGUCUACUGGGCAAGAAAUCCUGGCUGCGUAAUGAAUGACUCGGUGGUUUGGACGCUGCAGUAAUAAUUUCGAGUAAAUUCAAAACCCAAGCACCAAGAAAGGUAACGAGCUCGCUUGAAAAGUGGGGUUUGUUCGUUUUUUUGCGUGCUUACUCGACCGGGUCGUGCGGGGGUUGGACGGUUGGUAAUCCCUCUCCAUUUCUCAUCCUUUUCGUUUAACCCUUAUCGUCGUUUCUAACAAAUCCGACCUUGUGGUUUGAAUAGAUCCGGAUGAUUUUGUACAAGUUCAUCCAAAAUAUGGCCCUCCUUUGGCAAAACUUCGACGUCGGAUCCAGACUCCGUGUAGAAGAAGACGAAUAGGAGGAGACUCUCCUUCUCAUUCCACAAGAGGCUCCCAUGGCCAUGGUCUGUCGCACCGUGUCCAUGGCACAACGUUCCAUGGACACGUCCAUCACGGUGUACUUGGCCACUGUUCCAUCACCGUGUCCAUAGCAGGCUGGACUGGAGGAGAUCGGGUCGAAACCGAAAAUGCAGGCGGUGCUAUCUCCUUCCACACCAGUAGCAGGGAGGAGAUUGGGCUGGAACCGAAGAUAGCAGGCGAUGCUAUCUCCUUCUACACCAGUAGCAGGCCGAACUGGAGGAGAUCGGGUCGGAACUGAAGAUAGUUGGCCGUGCUAUCUCCUCCUACACCAGUAGCAGGCCAUACUGGAGGAGAUUGGGCCAGAAGUGAAGAUAGCAGGCCGGCCGACGCUCAGUUGAGUUGUAUAUCCACCCCGACGCUGCCUCCAACGCCUCCACCUUCUCUCGCUCUAUUCCCUCCCUCGACCUCGCCGCCGCCACACCGCCGGAUCAAGCCAUGGAAGCCUCCUCGUCUUCGGAGGACGAGAUGCUGAUGUUCGGCUACAACGUCCCUAGGGAUGUCCCCGAAGUGGUAAGUUCCCCCCCAUCCACCUCUCAACCGCGCCACCCCCCACACCAACCCACCCACCUGCCUCCAGCGGCUGUGGCGGCCGCUUUGUGUUCCAACACUAGAGGCAAUCUAGCUCGUGGCCGCAGAAGUCGGUGAUGCUGUCGUGGCUCGAUCUGGAGCGCGAGGAAUGGCAUCCGGGUGUCGGCAGAAGUCGGGUGCUUGGUCGACGGGGUGACCGGCAGCCCGUCCAUUCUCGGUACUUCGAACUCGGGCCACUCGGCAAGCCGGAACUCCAUGGAGCCGCGGUGAAGGCCGCUGAUGAAGCCGUGUCAGCGCCCAGCCCUGCAGGCCGCUGAACCUCCUUGUCCACCGACUCUUGGUACGCUCGAGUCACGCAGUCCCACUGCCCAGAGUGCCCUUGGCCCUGGCAGCCGUCAGAUCCGGCGCGUAUGGCACGGAUUCUAACGUCCGAUUUUGACCUGGUCGCUUCGUUUCUCUGCGUCAAGCGCAUUCCCAAGGACGACGUGUGGUGUUGACGGCGGACGCCCGGGCGGGCAUCGUCGGCACCGCCGCCACCAGUGGACACCCGCGCGCAGACGCAACCAACUGAGCGGCCUCUUGCUGGACUCACAGCGCACGCAGUAUGCUAUUCUGCACGUCGUCUUGCGGCAACAAGACCCCGCGCGCGCGGCGUUUGAGGCUGGCUCGACGGUGAAGUGUCAGUCAGCGAAUCAUGCUCUGCUUAUACACUACUACUACGCAGUGGAAAGUGGCGGACGCGCGCGCGGCUCGCUUGAGGCCUCGACGUCGAGGUGGCCUGCGACUCUCCCGGCGAAUGGAGUCCGUCCGCGCUUGCCAGCUCAGCCUCGCCGAAAAUUCUGUCGGUGUAGCUGUGGAUGCUUCGUCGACACUGGGAUAUCGCGUUCGCAUGGCCAUCGUCGCCGCAUGCGGUGGCAGGCUCUUCCCCGGGACCGGCACAAAACUCGACCGCCCGCCCGGGGUGCUCGAUCGUGUCGUCGGAGCCGCCGCACCUGCGCUCCCACUCGCACCUGUGACGGCGCACCAACGUCGCUUGUGUACAGGAUGGAGCAUGCACGUGAUGAGGUACAGGUGCUCCGAUGGCCGCCAUGUGCAACACGCGUGGCGCCACCGGACACGAUCAAGCACGAACGCGCGCGACGCGAGCCGCCGUCCCGAACCACAGCGCCGCCACGUCCCCCGCUGCUGCUGGUCCAGGUCGGCAGGUCGCCCCCGCUCUCCGCGCCCCACGACUUGGACGCCGGCAGCACGAGUCAACGUCGAGGGUGCCAGGGACGACGACGCUCGUCGGAGCCUCACCGGCAGCUAGCCGGUGCGGUAGCCACGUGCGGCGGACGCGCGCUUCCACUGGGUCCCUGUGCCUUCGCCUCGGGCUGCCGGCGUUCAACUCAUGGGCUGCGGCGGGCGGGGACGACCUCGACCAGUAGCAGCGGGGACGUGGCGGUGGCGCGGCGCGGCUGUGGCUUUGAUAAGGUGUGGCUGUCAUCUCUGAAUAUAGCUGCCAUUAUGGACGGAUCGAAAUGAAUAUAGCUCCUAUGCAGUCUUGCAGAGUAGCUUCAGCUUUCCAGAGGAUCCAUGAGGACCAACAGCUUUCCAGAGUUGCAGAACACAUCUGCGCGCGCACAUAUACGACAAAGGAUUCUGAGGGACAGUAUGCCACAUUGCCUGCCACCGCCACCCAAUUGCAAUGUCUUUUUCUCCUUCUUGGUUUUCUUUCUCCUGCAUUAACACGACAAUAUAAUGCUUUCCAGUUAGAAUAGUCACAGCCAAUUUGGCGUGUACAACUACAAGACCAUUAGUAUUUGGGCAAUUCAUACCUAGUAUUUGGUGGAUGGAUUCGAAUGCUCGUCCAGUCGUAACAGCCUGCUGAAAGCUUCCUCUGUUCCUUGCAUUCUUACUAUGUUCUAUUCCUGGACUCUGUUGUUCGUUCACCUCGUCUACUGGUGCUUCAUCUUCAUCCUGUGCGCGCGCAGGUGAAUAUACAGUUAGAAAUCCAUUUUUACAUGAGUAUAUAUAGACAUACACAGUUAUUAAACCACCGAGUAGGUCGAAGAUGAACUCACCUGUGGACUUGCCCAGGUAUGCGUCAAAUGAAUACGGCUCCUUGGUAUAGUAGAUGUACCACUCGGCAUCUUCAUCUUCGUGCGAUUGGUCGGCUUCCUCUGCUCCUCCUUCUAUCUUGUGUCCAUACGCCUUUACUUGCUGGACAUGCUGGAUCUUUCCCCAUUCGGAGGAUUCAUCUUGUAGUGCUAUCAGUUUGAGCAAGCUUCGGCUGCAAUCUACAUGCAACUUCUUUAGCUUUGCCUCUCGCAAGUAUUCUGGGAGUGCUUCAGCAAUCCAAUCCCACCACUCCACGCUUCGAAGGGAUGGCAAACCAUCCAAUUCCUCUAGUGCUGGGCAAUUGCUAAUGCCAAUCCAUUGCAAGCUUGGGUUGUUGCUGAUCCUUUCCAGCCUUGGGUUGUCAAGCGACCAAAGCUUGACUAUUGAAGGGAAGUUCUCCACGGAGACCAAGAGCUGGAUAUUUCUCAGGUACAACUCUCUCAACCGGCAUGCAUGCUGUGCUAGCCCUGCAGGAAGGCGUUGCAGUUUGCAGUUUCUGAUUAUAAGCUUGUCUAGUGCAGGCAUCGCUAGGACGUGCUGCUCCCACUCCCACUCUGUCCAUCCCAGCAUGCCUACAAAACCCACUCUUGUCAGCUUGGGAAAUGCAACACCAGCACCACGCGAAGUAUGAUGAGGCUGCCUCUUGGCUUGACCACCCAAGGAGGGGAAGAGGAAAUCAUGCCCAACGCACUGGACAGACGGAGCACGCUCGACCCAAAAGUAAUCAAGAAAGGGGAGCUGCCCCAAUCCAUUAGGUAGACGCGUGCAGCAUGCGUAGUCAACUAGCGCUAACCGCCUUAAGCUCCCAAAGGCUGACAUGGUUCUCAUCCACUGCGGUAGCCCGCGUGCAAAGUAGCCACUGAUAUCAAGUAGUUCCAUGCAAGGUGGAGGACACAGAUUAUCCAGGACGUCCUCUGUUCUCCUGUGUUCCUCCUCGCUAAUGUUGCCUUCGACCUCUCCAUUGUCUCCUAGCCUGCUGGUAAAUAUCAAGUCUAAGUUUGUCAAGUGAUGUUUACUGCUAAGGUUUGCUUUAGCAGCCAUAGAACCGGAAGGUGCCUUCUCCAGACAACUUAUUUCAAGGCUUUGGAGCUUCGACAGAGGUCUGAGUUCUUCUAAGCUGCACCAGCCACC